rnacentral:lncRNA from 1 species
AUGGUGCGAAUGAAUGUUCUGGCGGAUGCUCUCAAGAGCAUCAACAACGCUGCGAAGAGAGGCAAACGUCGGGUCCUCAUCAGGCCGUGUUCUAAAGUCAUCGUUCGGUUCUUAACGGAUGAAGCACGGGUACAUUGGUGAAUUCGAGAUCACUGAUGGUCACAGAGCUGGGAAGAUGGUUGUGAACCUCACAGGCAGGUUAAACAAGUGUGGAGAGAUCAGCCCUAGAUUUGAUGUUCAACUCAAAGACCUAGAGAAAUAAAUGGCAGAACAACCUGCUCCCAUCACGGCAGUUUGUUUUCACUGUCCUGACAACCUGGGCUGGCAUCAUAGACCAUGAAGAGGCAAGACGAAAACAUACAGGAGGGAAAAUCCUGGGAUUUUUUUUU